GACGUAGGAUGCAAGCGUUGUCCGGAUUUAUUGGGCGUAAAGAGUUCGUAGGUGGUUUGUUAAGUCUGAUGUUAAAGACUGGGGCUCAACCUCGGAAAUGCAUUGGAUACUGGCAGACUUGAGUGUGGUAGAGGCAAUCGGAAUUCCAGGUGUAGCGGUGAAAUGCGUAGAUAUCUGGAAGAACACCGGUGGCGCAAGCGGAUUGCUGGGCCAACACUGACGCUGAUGCGCGAAAGCUAGGGUAGCAAACGGG
rnacentral:rRNA from 1 species